rnacentral:snoRNA from 1 species
GGCCGAUGACGAACACGCCACCCGAGCCACUCACCGGGUGAUGACGAACCCUAUGAGUGCCGAGACC